rnacentral:rRNA from 1 species
UUGACCUGGGAUCAGGUGAGGAAUAACCCGCUGA